UCUUUUCAUAGGACAAAAAAAAUGGUUCCUUUUCCAGUAGCUGCAGGGUAGUAAGCAGAAGACAGUGCCAGCCUCUGUUGACUAUGUUUAUGCCUCUUUUUAUUGGUCGAUUCCAGUGAUUACCCACAAAAGUGGGGAGGAGAUCCUGUUCUAAUGUCUUUCAGCCCUGAAAAGAUGACUCUGCAACUGUGGAAGCAGAGCACAUGGUUCCAGAUGCUGCACCCAGAGGAGACCUUCCAUUUGUUGGAGCCAGGAAUUGAGUUUGAAUCCAGCCCCCACUGAAAGUCAUCACAGCAACCAGAUUGGAGCAGACCUUCCAAGCCUGACUAACCAGCCUUUUACCAAGCAUGCUACCCAGCAGACAUGAAAGAAAGGACCCUGAGAUGUACAAGUAAAGACUAAAAGACUCUUUUCAAUUCCCAGAAGACAGCUGGAAAGACUAUGGGGGAGGUGGAAAAUUCAUUGUAAGGUUUUCUUUCUUGUCUCAUUUACAUUGUAAUCAGUCUAAAGUACUCAUGUAAGGACCACCA